UACGGAGGGUGCAAACGUUGCUCGGAAUCAUUGGGCGUAAAGCGCACGUAGGCGGUCCGAUAAGUCGGGUGUGAAAGCCCUCGGCUCAACUGAGGAAGUGCAUUCGAAACUGUCGGACUUGAGUAUGGAAGAGGGUCGCGGAAUUCCCGGUGUAGAGGUGAAAUUCGUAGAUAUCGGGAGGAACACCAGUGGCGAAGGCGGCGACCUGGGCCAAUACUGACGCUGAGGUGCGAAAGCGUGGGGAGCAAACAGG
rnacentral:rRNA from 1 species